UACGUAGGGUGCGAGCGUUAAUCGGAAUUACUGGGCGUAAAGCGUGCGCAGGCGGUUUUGUAAGUCAGAUGUGAAAUCCCCGGGCUUAACCUGGGAACUGCGUUUGAAACUACAAGGCUAGAGUGUGGCAGAGGGGGGUGGAACUCCACGUGUAGCAGUGAAAUGCGUAGAGAUGUGGAGGAACACCGAUGGCGAAGGCAGCCCCCUGGGUUAACACUGACGCUCAGGCACGAAAGCGUGGGGAGCAAACAGG
rnacentral:rRNA from 1 species